CAAGGUUCAAGACUCCUGUAAGGAAUUUUUAUUUUUUUAUUAUUCAAACGACUCUGAAACAUGUUAGAGCUGCUAAAUACCAACGUUAGUGUUUUUUUUGUUUUUUCAAUUAAGGAGAAGGAACUGUCUCCAUUGCUGUCAACUAAACAUUUCCACAAGACACCAUCACUUCUCUGGCAAAUCCUCCAGCAGGACUGGCCUGCCAGAGUGCCUGAAUCCUUUAUGAGUCAACCUGAACCUGUCAGAUAAAAGCAGUGAUGGCCUGUCACCGGGAUAAAAAGGCUGCAGAUACAGGCGAGCAUAAAAGAGCAGCGCUGCGUGGCGGAGGUGGCGAGGAAGGUGACGGCUAAAAGCCUGAUCAAACAAGGCCGACGCGAGCAGCUCGCUCAAGUGGUCUGCAUUUACGCUCCACUCAUACCACACACAGACUGGAAAUAGGCAAAUGUGGAGUAAUAUCCUGCUGAAUCAAACACCGAUAGCUCCACUUUGUCGGCAGCUGAAGGUGAACAACCCUCAGCGUAUGAACAAAUGAGCCCACUUCUGCCCUCUGCUUCACUCUAUUAUAGCCUAUGUAAUAAAGAGUUAGUCCUAUUUUGUGUUUAACUUAAAACAAACUCUAAAUUUAUCACAUUUUGUCAGAUCAACUCAACUUUGUCUGCUGAUAUCCCUCCAUUUAUUUUUUAAAACAAGUUUGAGGAGAAACCUGGGUAAUGUAUGAUGAAGUAUCAGAAAAUUGAAGAGUACAUUUCAACCAAAACACUAUUAUUUUAUUUCACAAAUUAUUAGUGUCGACAUUGAUGAUGAUUAUUUAGUUUUUGUUUUAAAUUUCUCAAAUAAAUGCUAACCAUAGCUCAUUGCAGCUGUUUGCUAUCAUAGAUGAGCUAAAACGAAUUAUCAGUUUUUAUUAACCUAUUUGCUUAACAAAAACGUCCCUAAUUUGGGAGUGUUUGAUAGAUUGUAGACAUGUGAAUGUCUACAUAGAGUUCUGGUUAUUUUUCUAGAGGAAAUAAAAAAAAUGCAAAUACAGAAACUUUCUGGUGUCAUGUUUUUCCUUUUGUUUACCUCAUAUACAGUUAUUCUCAGUGUUUUACUGUUUCCAUUCACACCGUGAAUGUGAGCAGGUUUGUGCGACUGCAGCAGGAGUGUUUCAUUAUCGGGCUCCUCAGGGGAGGAACCUGCUGAGGCUUCUCACUAUGGACACCACUCUUUUUUUUUUUUUCCCUU